AUUGAACGCUGGCGGCAGGCCUAACACAUGCAAGUCGAGCGGUGGAAGGGAGCUUGCUUCUGGAUUCAGCGGCGGACGGGCGAGUGAUUCCUAGGAAUCUGCCUGGCAGUGGGGGAUAACGUCCGGAAACGGGCGCAAUUACCGCAUACCCUCUGAAGGAUAAAGAGGGGGAUCAUGGGAGCUCACGCCAUCAGCUGCACCUAGGUCGGAUUAGCUGUUUGGUGGGGUAAAGGCCUACCAAGGGGACGACCCGUAACUGGCCUGAGAGGAUGAUCAGUCGAACUGGAACUGAGACACGGCCCAGACCCCUACGGGAGGCAGCAGUGGGGAUUAUUGGACAUGGGGCGAAAGCCUGAUCCAGCCAUGCCGCGUGGGUGAAGAAGUUCUUCGGAUUGUAAAGCACUUUAGGUGGGGAGGAAGGGCAGUAAGUUAAUACCUCGCUGUUUUGACGGUACCAACAGAAUAAGCACCGGCUAACUUCGUG
rnacentral:rRNA from 1 species